AUUGUCAAGAAACGAGAGAAUCGAACAAAUGAAUCAACUCUUGUCUUAUUCCAUUGAUGUUCAACAUAUUUAUACAAGGAGAAGGGACGCGAUGAAAAGAUGCGUCCGUUCGUAAAGGGGUGCGUGGUAUGUCGGUUGCCAUUCUACUAACCGACAUAGAUUAUUACAUGGGAGGAUUAUCCCUUUUAUUUAAUCUACU
rnacentral:lncRNA from 1 species